GACGAACGCUGACGGCGUGCUUAACACAUGCAAGUCGAAGGGAGUGGCGAACGUGUGAGUAACACGUGAGUAACCUGCCCUUUUCUUUGGGAUAAGCCUGGGAAACUGGGUCUAAUACUGGAUGGAUUGGGAUGGGCUCGCGGCUUAUUAGCUUGUUGGCGGGGUGAUGGCUUACCAAGGCUUUGACGGGUAGCCGGCCUGAGAGGGUGGGCGGAAACACUGGGAGUGAGAGACGGCCAAGACUGCUACGGGAAGCAGAAGUGGGGGAUAUUGCACAAGGGGCGAAAGCCUGAUGCGGCGACGCCACGUGGGGGAUGAAGGCUUUCGGGUUGUAAACCUCUUUCGCUAUCGAACGGGUAGGUGGAGAAGAAGCACCGGCUAACUCCGUGCCAGCAGCCGCGGUAAUAC
rnacentral:rRNA from 1 species